rnacentral:rRNA from 1 species
AGAGUUUGAUUCUGGCUCAGAACGAACGCUGGCGGCGUGGUUAAGGCAUGCAAGUCGAACGGGCUUAUGAUUUGGGAAACCAGGUCAUAAGUUAGUGGCGGACGGGUGAGUAAUGCAUGGGUAAUGUACCUUGGGCACAGGAAUAGCCCGCCGAAAGGCGGAGUAAUACCUGAUGAUAUCGGCGACCCGCAUGGGUUGCUGAUCAAAGCUCCGACGGCCCGAGAGCAGCCUAUGUCCUAUCAGCUUGUUGGUGGGGUAAAGGCCUACCAAGGCGACGACGGGUAGCCGGCGUGAGAGCGUGACCGGCCACAUCGGGACUGAGACACUGCCCGGACACCUACGGGUGGCUGCAGCAACGAAUCUUCCGCAAUGGGCGCAAGCCUGACGGAGCGACGCCGCGUGUGGGGUGAAGUCUUUCGGGAUGUAAACCGCUGUCAGGGGUUAGGAAGAUCUGACCGGCCCCAGAGGAAGCCCCGACUAAGUCUGUGCCAGCAGUCGCGGUAACACAUACGGGGCAAGCGUUGUCCGGAAUCACUGGGCUUAAGCGGGUGUAGGCGGAAUGGCCAGUGUCUUGUGAAAGCCCUCGGCUCAACCGAGGAAUUGCUGGGCAAACUGUCAUUCUUGAGGCAGGUAGGGGUGCAUGGAACUCUAGGUGGAGCGGUGAAAUGCGUAGAUAUCUAGAGGAACGCCGGUGGCGAAAGCGGUGCACUGGGCCUGAUCUGACGCUGAGACCCGAAAGCGUAGGGAGCAAACAGGAUUAGAUACCCUGGUAGUCUACGCCGUAAACGAUGCGCACUAGGUUCGAGCGGCUCUGACGCCGUUCGUGCCGUAAGAAAACCGAUAAGUGCGCCGCCUGGGGAGUACGGCCGCAAGGCUAAAACUCAAAGGAAUUGACGGGGGCUCACACAAGCGGUGGAGCAUGUGGAUUAAUUCGAAGCAACGCGAAGAACCUUACCUGGGUUUGACAUGCGCGGAUGCCCUCUUGGAAACAGGAGUAAGCUGCCUUCGGGUGAAACGCGCACAGGUGCUGCAUGGCUGUCGUCAGCUCGUGCUGUGAAGUGUUGGGUUAAGUCCCCUAACGAGCGAAACCCUUGUCGUUAGUUACCAGCGGGUCAUGCCGGGAACUCUAGCGAGACUGCCGGUGUUAAACCGGAGGAAGGUGGGGAUGACGUCAAGUCCUCAUGGCCUUUAUGCCCAGGGUGUCACACGUGCUACAAUGGGGCGUACAGAGCGAUGCAAGACCGCGAGGUGGAGCAAAUCGCACAAAGCGCUCCUCAGUUCGGAUUGGAGUCUGCAAUUCGACUCCAUGAAGGUGGAAUCGCUAGUAAUCGCGUAUCAGCCAUGACGCGGUGAAUAUGUUCCUGAGCCUUGUACACACCGCCCGUCAAGUCAUGGAAGCUGGGAGCACCCGAAGUCCGCUUAGCCAACCUUAGGGAGGCGGCGGCCGACGGUGAGCUUGGUGACUGGGACUAAGUCGUAACAAGGUAACC